rnacentral:rRNA from 1 species
AUGGGGGGCAGCUCCAACACGAGCGGCGGUGGUGGCGCCGGAGGGAAGGACAAGGAGGACAAGGGCAAGGGCUCCUCGGUCUCCUUCACGGAAGGCGAGAAGGUGCUCGCCUACCACGGCCCGCUCCUCUACGAGGCCAAGGUUCAGAAAACUGAAAAUCGGGAGGACGAGCGGCGGUAUUUCGUCCAUUAUCUUGGCUGGAAUAAAAAAUGUGAUGAAUGGAUCGCAAGUGAUCGUUUAUUGAAGUUGACAGAGGAGAAUGUUCGCAAACAACUAGAGCUGAAAAACCAGUCAAUGGAUAAAACCGUCAAGAUUGGUAGACGGUCAGCACAGCAUAACCCAGAAGGCUCUAAUGCAGAUGCAAAAGCCGAUAAAGAGGACACUAAGGAUCUUGUCAAGGGAAAGAAGCGCAAGAAUCAGCUUGGCGUUGAGGUGGCUAUCAUUCCCAAACAUGUACAUUGUGAAAUACUCCCACCGUCCGGAAAUACUUGUCGGAGAAAUGGGAGUAUUUGA